GACGAACGCUGGCGGCGUGCUUAACACAUGCAAGUCGAGCGGUAAGGCCCUUUCGGGGUACGACGAGCGGCGAACGGGUGAGUAACACGUGGGUGACCUGCCCUUAGCUCUGGGAUAAGCCUGGGAAACUGGGUCUAAUACCGGAUAUGACUCCAUGACGCAUGUUGUGGGGUGGAAAGCCUUGUGCGGCUAGGGAUGGGCCCGCGGCCUAUCAGCUUGUUGGUGGGGGUGAAUGGCCACCAAGGCGACGACGGGUAGCCGGCCUGAGAGGGCGACCGGCCACACUGGGACUGAGACACGGCCCAGACUCCUACGGGAGGCAGCAGUGGGGAAUCUUGCGCAAUGGGCGAAAGCCUGACGCAGCGACGCCGCGUGGGGA
rnacentral:rRNA from 1 species